UGGGGAAUAUUGGACAAUGGGCGAAAGCCUGAUCCAGCCAUGCCGCGUGUGUGAAGAAGGCCUUUUGGUUGUAAAGCACUUUAAGCGAGGAGGAGGCUACUUAGAUUAAUACUCUAGGAUAGUGGACGUUACUCGCAGAAUAAGCACCGGCUAACUCUGUGCCAGCAGCCGCGGUAAUACAGAGGGUGCGAGCGUUAAUCGGAUUUACUGGGCGUAAAGCGUGCGUAGGCGGCUUCUUAAGUCGGAUGUGAAAUCCCUGAGCUUAACUUAGGAAUUGCAUUCGAUACUGGGAAGCUAGAGUAUGGGAGAGGAUGGUAGAAUUCCAGGUGUAGCGGUGAAAUGCGUAGAGAUCUGGAGGAGUACCGAUGGCGAAGGCAGCCAUCUGGCCUAAUACUGACGCUGAGGUACGAAAGCAUGGGGAGCAAACAGG
rnacentral:rRNA from 1 species